rnacentral:lncRNA from 1 species
GACAGUCAAGUUAGAUGACCGAAAAACGUACGUAAAGAGAGAGUGUAUGUCCCAUGGACUAAAUUCGAGUACCUUUAAGAGAAAGAAAUGCUGACUUUAUAUGACACAGCUCAGCGCGUAUCUUGACGUGCUAGCUAUCGUGUCAUUGGACAGACUACAGCUUGGCGCGUGCUCAUUCGUGUCGACCGCUGUGUCAAUAAGUCGGUGGUUGACUCAGCCACGCUUCUAGGGCCUGGAUGGUAGCCUGUUAUCAUGUUAUCGACAUCUCCAUCCGAGCAUGGGGGCUGUCAGAAGAAACUCUAUCGUGUAAGUUACCUUCUGUACUAUGACAUCCCUCAGGAUUGUUGUCAGUCGUUUCCCCUCUUUCAAGCUCUAGCGCAGUUAUUCUUCUCAACUUGCUAAAUAGCAACUGCUUGAAAGUAACGAUGGUCUUAGCUCAGAUAAUGUCUGUCUUCAGUAGUAUCUACAUGGAGCUCCAGCGCAGAGAUC